UACGUAGAUCUCGAGCGUUAUCCGAAUUUAUUGGGCGUAAAGUGUCUUUAGGCGGUUUUGCUUUUCUUUGAUUUAUCAUAGGAAAGUCGGGCAGGUUUCCUGUUCGAUUAGUCCGUUCUCAAAUAUCCUAGCUCAACUGGGAAAAGGGAAUGGAAACGGCAAAACUAGAGGGGGGGUAAGGUUAAUGGAACACAUAGUGUAGGGGUAAAAUCCGUUGAUAUUAUGUGGAACACCAAAGGCGAAGGCAAUUAACUGGCCCCUUUCUGACGCUUUCAGACUAAAGCGUGGGGAGCAAAAAGGAUUAGAUACCCUUGUAGUCCACGCCCUAAACUAUGGAUGCCAGCUAUCUGGAGUAUCGACCCUCUAGGUGGCGAAGCUAACGCGUUAAGCAUCCCGCCUGGGAAGUACGGCCGCAAGGCUAAAACUCAAAGGAAUAGACCGGAGUUCGCACAAGUAGUGGAACAUGUGGUUUAAUUCGAAGACACACGAGGAACCUUACCAAGAUUAGAAAUCCAUCUGCACAUCUCGAGAAAUCGAGACUCCUUCGAGGGUGAUGGACAGGUGCUGCAUGGUUGCCGUCAGCUCGUGGUGUGAAUUGUACCCUUAAGUGGGAUAACGAGCGCAACCCCUAUGUUAUGUUAUACGUGUCAUAACAGACCGCCCCGUUCUGCGGGGAGGAAGAUGGGGAUGACGUCAAAUCAGCAUGGCCCUUUGAUAUCUUGGGCUACACACAUGUUACAAUGGGAAUUACAAUGCGUCGCCAAACCGUAAGGUGGAGCUAAUCGCAUCAAAAGUUCCCCCAGUUCAGAUUGAGGGCUGCAACUCGACCUCAUGAAGCCGGAAUUACUAGUAAUCGUGAAUCAGAUAUGUCACGGUGAAUGCGUUCUCGAGCUCUGUACUCACCGCCCGUCAAGCCAAGGGAGCUGGGGAUACCUGAAAACUGCGUUAAGCGGGAUAGGGUAGAUUCAGUAGCAGGGGCU
rnacentral:rRNA from 1 species